rnacentral:rRNA from 1 species
AUGCCGGUGUUCAACAUCAGCUCGCUACCCCGCUCCACCUGUUCUCCUCCCCCGCGGCUGCCGCUGAGAGCAGCCUGCUGCGGCAUGACCGGGGCUGCUGAAGUGACUGGACGCGCGGCCAGCAACGGUGGUGUUGUACGUGAGAUUCAGCAGCCUGGCUUGCAUGCCCACGCAGGGCCCGGUGAAGACGGUGUGGGCAUCGCUGGCAGAGGCAGGCCUGUCCUUCCUCUGUAUCCUUGGUUCCAGCCGGCAGCCCUGGCUGACGGGCUAAUGCGGCUGCCAGCCGGCUUCGAGGUGGCGACGCGCGGCACGGCAUCGUGGUUGAGUGGGCGCCACAGGAGAAGGUGUUCCGGUAUUGCGGCCGUGGCCGAGUUCUGCACGCAAGACGGGAGGAACUCGACGACGGAAAGCGUGGGCGAGGGCUUGCCGAUGUUGUGCCGCCCGGACUUCGACGACCAUAUUCAAUGGAGAUGCAAGCCGCGCUUCGUCGCUCGCGCUGCAGCACCACGCCGAGACGGCCCGCCACCAUGGCCUCCAAAGUCACCGGCCGGCCCAAACUACUACGGUGGGUGCCCUGGAUCGAGAAAGAGGGGUGCCUUUUAUAGGUAUAUAAUAAAGCGGUGGAUUGCCAUGGCAAUAGUAAGCGGCAAGGCUUCCAGAUUGAACACAACAGCGGCAACGAUCACGGAGCGGCCACGCAAGCAGCAAACGGCAGACUUCGGCGGCACCGAUUACAGGACGAUCACGCAGGCAGUAAGCGGCAGACCAUGGGAAUCAAGCCAUAGCACCGGCACCGCCCGGAAACACCAGCGAACGCCAUACUUUACGGUCAAAGGGGCAUGCACAACAGACAACACGAGGCGCCGCCGCCUUUUGAGCGUAGAACGGCACCAGCAGAAAUCACGAAUUAAAAGGUGUAAGUUUAGGGAGACCCUCGCCCGACGUAGCCUCCGACCCACCCCCUCUCUCUCUCCCGCGCCGCCCCCGAGCGACGGCAGGGAGGGCUUCCGGCGCGGCGGCCCCCGAGUCCCCUCCUCCUCUCCCGCCACCGCCAGAGGGCCUGGCCGGGCAAAGCUCACCCGGGCCGGCAGCAGUGGGGCCUUCUGGUUCCCUCGCGUGCAGAGGAGCGACACAGGUCCUUCUCUUUCACUGGGGCGCGACGUGGGCGCCGCGGGGCGACGUCGCGCUGGUGUGCUGAUCGGCGCUGGGUGGGGCUCCUGCGGCGAGUGCUACGGGCGAUGCAGCCUCGCGGUCCUGGGCAUCGGGCGGCUGCUGCUGACAACAAGGGGAUCGGUGCAGUGA